GACGAACGCUGGCGGCGUGCCUAAUACAUGCAAGUUGAGCGCUGAAGGUUGGUACUUGUACCAACUGGAUGAGCAGCGAACGGGUGAGUAACGCGUGGGGAAUCUGCCUUUGAGCGGGGGACAACAUUUGGAAACGAAUGCUAAUACCGCAUAAAAACUUUAAACACAAGUUUUAAGUUUGAAAGAUGCAAUUGCAUCACUCAAAGAUGAUCCCGCGUUGUAUUAGCUAGUUGGUGAGGUAAAGGCUCACCAAGGCGAUGAUACAUAGCCGACCUGAGAGGGUGAUCGGCCACAUUGGGACUGAGACACGGCCCAAACUCCUACGGGAGGCAGCAGUAGGGAAUCUUCGGCAAUAGACGAAAGUCUGACCGAGCAACGCCGCGUGAGUGAGGAAGGUUUUCGGAUCGUAAAACUCUGUUGGUAGAGAAGAACGUUGGUGAGAGUGGAAAGCUCAUCAAGUGACGGUAACUACCCAGAAAGGGACGGCUAACUACGUG
rnacentral:rRNA from 1 species